AUGGUUCUGUGCCCUCCUGCCCCGGCACAGGCCCCGCAGGGGUUUACUCCUUCCUGGCACAGGGCCUCAUGCCCACGAGGGCCCGGCGGAAACCCAGCGCGGGGCACCCUGCAGCCCUCGGGGCCCCUUGGUCAUUCAGAGGGAGGCCAGGGCUGGGCCCCUGGGACCAGGCCCUGGUGGGGUCCCCUGUGUCUGGGCCCUUGGGGCGGCUGUCAGCCCCUGGUGUGGGGGCGGAGGGAGGAGGUGGGACGGGUGGGCUGGGGUGGGCGUGGGCCGGCCACCAGGGGAGGUCCGGGGGCUGGGAGCACAGGGCGGUGGGGACGGGCCCGCAGGGCGAUGGUGAUGAGGGCGACCCGAGGGCUGGCCCGGGUGCCCCUCACCCCGUGUCUCCUGCGCACACACCUGCUGCUGUGGGGCCUGUGUCAGGGCCUUGGGGGAGGGCAGGCUGCGCUCCUGUGGCCCACGGAGGCCAUAGCAGGGGGGCUGCUGGCAGGGCUCAGGGGGCCUCAACGAGGGUGGGAGUGUCCGUGCUCAGGGCACCCAGACGUCCUGCUGCGGGCCCUCGAGGCUCCCUGCAUGGCCGACCCGUGGGCACGGCUGUACUGCCGCAGGGAGGCGGGGAGCCCCUGGCGCUGGGGUGUCUACAGGGAGGGGGGAGGGAGGAGGGGCCCGGGGAGCCUCCCCCAGCACACCUGCUGCCCUAGGUCCCCGAGGCCCCCAGGUCCCCCCAGCAUGUCAGCUGCCCAAGGUCCCCAAUUCCCAUCCCCUGCACGCCCGCUGCCCCAGGUCUCCGAGGCCCCCCAGCCCACCCGCCGCCCCAGGUCCCCGAGGUCCCCCCAGCACACCCGCUGCCCCAGGUCCCGAGCCCCCCCGCAGCCUGCCCACUGCCCAGGUCCCAAGCCCCCCCCCAGCCUGCCCGCUGCCCCAGGUCCCCAAGGCCCCCAGGUCCCCCCAUCCUGCCUGCCGCCCGAGGUCCCCGAGCCCCCCCAGCCCGCGUCAGCCGCCUGCCCGCCUCUCAGAGGCUGUGGUCUCCGCGCUCCUGGCGGCCGCCUUCUCCAUCCCCACCUGGCUGGGGCCCCUGCAGGCUACGGGGCCUUGGCUUGUCCCCGGGUCCACGCGGCUCAGGGAGGGCGUCCCCCCCACCAUCCCGCCCAGGCGCGCUGCUGUGAGUCGCUCGCGCGUGGUUGCAGGCUUGAAAGAGAAGAGCGCUCCACGCGGCCGGUCGCAUGUCGCAUCCCCGGGGUGCCGCCGUCCUCACUCCUCUCCACCGCGAGGGCACCUCCGCCCUUGUCCCCGCAGUCGGCUGGCGGCGGCCCUCCGCGGUCCUGA
rnacentral:lncRNA from 1 species